UACGGAGGGAGCUAGCGUUGUUCGGAAUUACUGGGCGUAAAGCGCGCGUAGGCGGCUUUGUAAGUUAGAGGUGAAAGCCCGGAGCUCAACUCCGGAACUGCCUUUAAAACUGCAUCGCUUGAAUCCAGGAGAGGUGAGUGGAAUUCCGAGUGUAGAGGUGAAAUUCGUAGAUAUUCGGAAGAACACCAGUGGCGAAGGCGGCUCACUGGACUGGUAUUGACGCUGAGGUGCGAAAGCGUGGGUAGCAAACAGG
rnacentral:rRNA from 1 species